rnacentral:rRNA from 1 species
CAAUAGCGUAUAUUAAAGUUGUUGCAGUUAAAAAGCUCGUAGUUGGAUUUGUGGCAGGUCCGACCCUUCCUUGGCUUUGCCUUGGCAUGGGUUUGGAGGUGCCUUUUUUGGUUGGAACCUGUGUGGCAUUAGGUUGUCGUGCAGGGGAUGGCCAUCGUUUACUGUGAAAAAAUUAGAGUGUUCAAAGCAGGCUUAUGCCGUUGAAUAUAUUAGCAUGGAAUAAUGAUAUAGGACCUUGGUACUAUUUUGUUGGUUUGCGCACUGAGGUAAUGAUUAAUAGGGACAGUUGGGGGUAUUCGUAUUCCAUUGUCAGAGGUGAAAUUCUUGGAUUUUUGGAAGACGAACUACUGCGAAAGCAUUUACCAAGGAUGUUUUCAUUAA